UUGCGCUUUGCGCAUUAUUUUCAAGAUGGCUGCUGACAUUCUGACAGCCUUGGUGAUCUAAGUCAACUCAACCUCAACUUAUUCCCUGACAUUAUUAAUCAUUAAAAAAAAAUUGAUUCCAAUGCGCUGUGCAGUGCAAUUUAUUGGAGACAGCUGGUGAAAGGUGUUACUCUUGUAAGCUUGCUACCUGUACCGGCUUUUGUCACAUGCAGAAACACUUUAGAACAAUUUAAAGUAAUUAAGUUGAUCAACUUUUUUACAGUAUGCUUACACAUUUACAACAAGUGACAUCUUAUUUUGUGCUUCUAAAUAAGUGCUUUUGUGGAAAGUACUUGUAAAGAGUUGUAAACUUUUGUCGAUGAAACAACAGAAAUUCCCUUGCUUAUUAAAAACUUGAAAUGAAAUUUUGAUGAUCUGUGAUCAUCUUGAUUUCUUUUUCUCUAGGUUUCCAUGGCCAGUUUUAUGUUUGAGCUUUUUAUGGUGUUGCUGUUUGGUUUACCUUGCAGUCAUUUUCCAGUUGAGAGAUGCGCUGAAAUGGAGCUUGUGCAGGCUUGCAGUUGAACAUCAUACUUAGAUGUGUCAUUUGCCUAUGUUGGUGUCCAUGCAGUAUAUGCUUAUUUUAUCGGCAGACUUUUGUCACUAUGUCGUCUAUUGCUACCUGUACCGCCGUUGAGUUGAUUCGUUGGCCGCCGUUCCUUAGACUUGAUCCACCGGUGAGAUUAAUAAGGCUUUUCAUGUGAGAUUUUCAUAUGAAUUUCAAGAAGCUUUUAAUCGAUAAAAAAAUGUGUUCAAGGUUUGUCGUUUGUGUGAAAAAAAAGUAACAUACUAAAUUGCUUUCGUUUCGAGAUACAUAAAAUGGAACUGUGUGGAAUCAAUAUGGUAGCAAUGUGCCGAGCAAAGAAUAGCUCGAUUCAUCAUCAUGAAAAUGUGGAUUAGACUGAACUUGCGUCUUGCCGCCACUAGAUGGAUAUUCGUAGUCUGUCUUUUAGCAGCUGUCAGUCUAGGUCAAUGACUGGAAGCCGUUGUUUACUUUUAUAAUGGACCAAAUUAAUAUCCACAAAAUAUUUGAAGAGUUCAACCUGCAGACGGGUCGGGCAGUUUGCAUGUCCUUCACGCUUGAAGGUCGCGGGGAACCUUACGUAAAACUUUCAAUGCGGUGGUGUAGAGGUUGGGUGAGAAUCAUUAUCAAGCAGGUACAAUAGCCGCAAGGCUCAGCCAUUUGAUAUUCAUUUUGAUAUUGGUUGUUGUAGACCCAUCCCCCGCAACGUCUAUCUGUAGAAGGAAAGGACAGUUUGCAUUUCCUUUCUCGAAGGUCACGGAGAUCAUUUCGUAAAACGUGUCAUGCGACGGCGGAGAGGUUGGGUUAGGACGACACGUGUUGUAUCAUUAUCAAGCAGGAGAGAGAAAAGGCGACAGAAGUUAGUCGAGUGAGCAUCUCUGACCCGGCAACAACCGUAUAGCGCACUGUCUGUCUAUCACCAAGUGCCUCCUUCAUCUCAUCGUACAACCAAUUCGCAAUCAUGGCAGGUACAAUAGCCGCAAGGCUUGAGAGGUGAGGGUGAGGAAAAAUCGUAUAUAAGGAGAGAGAAAAGGCGUUUGAAAUCAGUUGAGUGAGCAUCUCCGACACGGCAACAACUGCAGUGAACUACUUGUAUCAACUGGCUUCUUCAUCGCAUUACCAGCUCGCAACAAUUGUUCGCAGUUAUGGUCAACUUUAAUGUCGUGCUGCUGUCGGAUGUUGUAUCGUUGAUGCCUGGGUCCACCACUAGUGUACCAAUGUCUUUUGGGUAUCAAAACCGGAUACCAAACCGCGACUUGCCGACGCCCUACUACACAACAGCAGCAUACGCUUCCAGCUGGUUAUUACAUCAAGGCGCCAGGGAAUUACACCACAACUUAUGAUGCCCCGAUCUACUACACCAACCCCCUGAAUUACAGAUAUCCUUCAGUUGCUGCGAGCAGUAAGUGUGUGUUUCUUUUUUAUUCUCUAUCGGUAUCAGACCUCCAGCAUUUUGUUUUAGUUGGCAUGGGGUGAAGCCAGAAAUGGAAACAAAUAUGGGCCCAACGGUGUUGCUUUAAUCAUCUCGUGUCUCUACACACAAUGUCUGAAAUACUUGAAUAAUUUUAUGUGAGUGUUUGAAGGAGUAGAAAGGGCAGGGAAAAUAUUUUGGCUUAGGAAAAAAAGUGCUUUCGACUUAUUUUAAGGGAAGUUCUACAUAACAAGGCAUUUAAACAUGUGUGGUUUUGUAUUGGAAUGUGUGUGGGUUAUGGGCUGCCAAAUCUUUUCCAAGAAUUCUCGUGAAUAGUAUAAACCAUGAAGCGUUGCUACUUCACUAGCACAUGACUUUGUGUAAUGACUAUUGAGUUUUUACAUGUUAAGUCAUUUUUUUAAUCAUUCUCAUUUUUCUAAUGUCAAUUGCUGUUUAUAAAGUGAGAUUUAAGACAAAACCAUUUGGUGUUAAUUUUGAUAUUGGUUGUUGACUUGUUGACAUAUUCCAAAGUGCAAAAAGGCUUUCACAUUCGGAAGUCACGGAAAUCAUUACGUAAAACGUGUCAUGUAGUGGUGUAGGGGUUGGGUAAGAAUGGGGCGUGUUUCAUAAUUAUCAAAGAGGUACAAAAACCGCAAGUCUUAAGAGUUGAGUUAGGGUAAGAAAAAGUCGUAUAAAAGGAGAGAGAAGAGGCGAUAUAGAUCAGUCGAGUGAGCAUCCCCGACUUGGCAACAUCUGCACUCUUCCAAUUCGCAAUGAUAGUUUACUGGUUUCGUGCUGCUUUUGAAUGUUGCUGUCUUACUACACAACAUACGUAACGACCUGUUGCUACAACGGACUUCCAACUACUACACCGAAAAGGCUGAAUAUUACACAAGGACGUAUGCUACCCCAGUUUACUACACCGACGAACCUAAGCAUUACUCUGCUCUGAGCUACGACAGAGGUUUCUGUUUACUACACCACCAUCACCCCCGAGUGUUACGCUGCCCCCAACCGCUACACUGAAGCUCCGAAGUACUACACCAUCGAAGGAAAACCAAUUCGCAUUCGAGUAAAAAUUCAUUUAUACAUCGAGUCGUGAAUUAAGAGAUUGAUGAGUUUUAAUUCGAAGUCUAUUUUUGAACUGUUAAUUGUUUAUGGUGUUGUGCUGCGGUGGUGUUGCUGGGUGUUGUAUCGUGAUGGCUGGGUCGACCAUGGGUGUACCGAUGUCUUCUGGGUAUGGUGGUUUUCAAGUACUAGCAGCUAUUCAAUAGUACACCACGUUGCUGCCUUACUACUUAACAACGUCUACAUAGGCAACACCUACUUACUACACUGAUGUUCGUAAAUACAGCACAUCCAAGGUUCCUAGAGUACUACACGAAUAUCUACGCUGCUGCGAGCUAAUGCACGGAAGUAUUCAGUCUACCCCGAGUUACAUCAACAAAACGUCUGAAUACUACACCGAGGAUCUCAAAUACUACACCACCAAAGCUACUAAGUAUUACACCGAGGCUGCUGCUUAUUAAACCACGAAAGCGGUGGAGUACCGAGGGGUCCAAGUACUACACUUCAACCUACUGCAGAGCAGUAUUUGUCAACAACUGCCAUAAUGGUAUGAAAUGUUCGCAAUCGUGGCUAACUAUGGUGUUGUGCUGUUGGGUUUUGCAUCGUUGAUGGCUGGGUCGACAACUGGUGUACCGAUGUCUCCUGGGUAUGGCGUACAUUAAAGCACAAUUUCCGUCUUGUUACUCAAAAUCACCAACGCUGCUUAGUUUACUACACCAGGGCUCCAAAGUACUUCACCACCAAGGUUCCAGAAUAUUACAAGCUGAAUCGCAGGAGAGAAAAGGUGAAAUGAUCAGUGAGUGAUUAUCUCCAACGCGGCAACAACAACUGCUGUGCACUAUUUGUCAUCAACUGCUUUAUUCAUCGUAUCACAAGUGUGCAAUCACGGUAUACAAUGGUGUUUUGCUGCUAUUGAUUGUUGUCCUCAAGUACUACACCACCAAGGCACCGAAGUUAUACACAUCUACGUAUGCUGCCCUAACCUGCUAAAACGGGACUCCAAACUGAAUACUAUACCGAAGCGCCUAAAUUCUACACCUCCAAGGCUACAGAAUAUUUCACCAUACCUUAUGCUGCCUCGAGCUACUUCACCGUCCUAAAGUAUUAUUCAGCACCGAGCCUGAGUACCUUCACCAAGGCCCUGGAAUACUACACUACCACCUACGUUGCUCCAGCUCACUAAACCGUGAUUCCUAAGUACUACACCACUGAACCACCUGAGUACUAAACGACUACGUAUGCUGCCUUGCCUCAACCUACUACACCGAGACUCCAAAGUAUUACUCUGCAUCAGUUACUACACCGAGGUUCCUACUUAUUUUACUACCUGAGAUGUUGAGCAUUACGACGAAGUUUCAGUAUUACUCUUCCCCGAGCUACACAAUCACAACGGAGGCGGUGGUGUACUUCGUAGCCCCAAACCACUACACAGCUGCUCCUUCCUACUAAGUUGAACUAAACUACUACACCGAGACUCCUGUUUACUACGCCAGAACCUACGCUACAUCUAACUACUUUUCCGAAGCUCCCAAGUACUACACCGAAAAGGUGGAUUACACAACCACGUACGCUGCAGCAGUUUACUACAACAAAAGGAGAGUGAAAGGCGAAAGAAAUCAAUCGAAUGAUAAUCUCCGACCCAAUAAAUCCAGUGAACUAUUUGUCACCCACUGCAAUCAUCAGUUCACAUUCAUUGGUAAAUUAUGCUGAUAUGUUGUUUUUGGUUGUUGCAACAUUGAUGGAUGGGUAAAUAAUUAAUGGUCCGAUGGCUCCUGGAUAUGGCGGAUAUUAAAGCACAACACAUCCAACUUGUUAAUCAGUAUCAACCAACGCAUCUCCAGCUUACUUAUUCAUCACCAGUUUGCAAUCACAGAGUUCUACUAUUUUGAUUAUUGUCAUCAAAUUCUUCACCAACCAAAUUCUACUGGCCCAAUCGUAAUUCUCCCAGCAACAAAUACUUCCUAAGUGCCCCAAUAUUACAU